rnacentral:rRNA from 1 species
CGUCAGCUCGUGUCGUGAGAUGUUCGGUUAAGUCCGGCAACGAGCGCAACCCACACCCUUAGUUGCCAGCAGUUCGGCUGGGCACUCUAGGGGAACUGCCCGUGAUAAGCGGGAGGAAGGUGUGGAUGACGUCAAGUCCUCAUGGCCCUUACGGGUUGGGCUACACACGUGCUACAAUGGUAGUGACAGUGGGUUAAUCCCAAAAAGCUAUCUCAGUUCGGAUUGGGGUCUGCAACUCGACCCCAUGAAGUCGGAAUCGCUAGUAAUCGCGUAACAGCAUGACGCGGUGAAUACGUUCCCGGGCCUUG